GUGUGUGUGUGUGUGUGUGUGUGUAUAUAUAUUCAAGACUUGAAAAGGUUGCAAGACGCAACGAAAAUUUUAGGUAAAAUAAAAAUAAGAAAUAUGUGAACAUUUUAACGGUGAGUGUUUUAAUUUUAAGGCACAAAAAGAAAAUGACUCACCCGAGGCACAACAGAAUAUGCUUCAAUACACGAACUCACAUAAAGAAUCUUUCAGACCAAAUCC